rnacentral:rRNA from 1 species
CCCUUAGAUGUCCUGGGCCGCACGCGCGCUACACUGAUGCAUUCAACGAGUCUACCUUGGCCGAGAGGCCUGGGCAACCUUUUAAACGUGCAUCGUGAUAGGGAUAGAUUAUUGCAAUUAUUAAUCUUGAACGAGGAAUUCCUAGUAAACGCAAAUCAUCAAUUUGCAUUGAUUACGUCCCCGCACUUUGUACACACCGCCCGUCGCACCUACCGAUUGAAUGGUCCGGUGAGGACUCGGGAUUUUUACCAGUUUCCUUCAUUGGGAAUUGGUGAGGAGAACUUGUCCAAACCUUAUCAUUUAGAGGAAGGUGAAGUCGUAACA